UCAAAGUAGUCCUUCAAAUUUUUAAAAUAUUUCAACGUGAUCCUACUAUUCACUUACCAACUAAUGGUAUUGGUUUUUUAUUUUAAUAGAUGAAAAUGCCCUUUGCUCAUAUUAGAUAGAUUAUCGGAAAGAAAAAGAUGGAGGUGGAGGGAGUUACCAUCGAAGGGGAGGAUAGGACUAUAGAAGUUGAUGUGGAAAGGAAGGACGGCAUCAAACACUCCUAGGUGGGAUUGGAGGAGGAGAAAGAGGAGGAGAAGGAGAAGGAGAAGGAGUUAGGAGGAAGAGGAUGGGGAAGGAGGGAAAGUACUCAUAGGUGAGCUUAGAGGAGGAGGAAGAUAAUGAGGAGCAGUGGAUAAGGAGAAGGGAGAAAGAGGGGUUGUUGGCAAGAAAGGUGGAGGUGAAGGAGGAGGAGAUGGGAAGGAGAGAUGGGCAGGCUUGGAGGAGGAAAAAGAGAAGUGGGAGAAGAAGGGGAGGAAGAAGAGGAGCAGGAAAGGUUCGUUGACAAGAUGGAUAGAGAUGGAGGGAGAGGACUUACAAGCGGACUUGGAGG
rnacentral:lncRNA from 1 species